UACGAAGGGGGCUAGCGUUGCUCGGAAUUACUGGGCGUAAAGCGCACGUAGGCGGCUUGUUAAGUCAGGGGUGAAAUCCUGGAGCUCAACUCCAGAACUGCCUUUGAUACUGGCGAGCUUGAGUUCGGGAGAGGUGAGUGGAACUGCGAGUGUAGAGGUGAAAUUCGUAGAUAUUCGCAAGAACACCAGUGGCGAAGGCGGCUUACUGGUCCGGAACUGACGCUGAGGUGCGAAAGCGUGGGGAGCAAACAGG
rnacentral:rRNA from 1 species